UCCCCGCUAGCUCAGUGGUAGAGCGUGUCACUAGUAUAUUCGCUCGAACAUAUGCAUCAUGACAAGGUCAGUCGUUCAAGUCGGCUGUGGGGAA